GACGAACGCUGGCGGCAGGCUUAACACAUGCAAGUCGAACGGGCACUUCGGUGUCAGUGGCAGACGGGUGAGUAACACGUGGGAACGUACCUUUUGGUUCGGAACAACUGAGGGAAACUUCAGCUAAUACCGGAUAAGCCCUUACGGGGCAAGAUUUAUCGCCGAAAGAUCGGCCCGCGUCUGAUUAGCUAGUUGGUAGGGUAAUGGCCUACCAAGGCGACGAUCAGUAGCUGGUCUGAGAGGAUGAUCAGCCACAUUGGGACUGAGACACGGCCCAAACCCCUACGGGAGGCAGCAGUGGGGAAUAUUGGACAAUGGGGGCAACCCUGAUCCAGCCAUGCCGCGUGAGUGAUGAAGGCCCUAGGGUUGUAAAGCUCUUUUGUGCGGGAAGAUAAUGACGGUACCGCAAGAAUAAGCCCCGGCUAACUUCGUGCCAGCCGCCGCAGUAA
rnacentral:rRNA from 1 species